UUUAAGAUAUAAGCCAAAAUACCAUACCUGCAGAAGCCACUGAAAGGCUAAGCAAACAUGCCAGAAUCUCAGAGCAGUGAUGCCCCAACCUACCGUGGUUGGUCCAUUUUCAACAUUUUAUGCUGCUGUUGGCCUCUUGGAGCUUUUGCACUGUAUUACUCUUGCAAGGUAAAAACUGCAAAUGAAGCUGGAGACACCGUUGCAGCUCGGGACGCAUCAAAAACAGCAAUGACCCUGAAUAUCAUCUCCCUCAUCUGUGGACUUAUUCUCAUCCCCAUCAUCAUCUAUUACCAGCUCCAAAAACAGAAGAAUCACUGACUUGUCACUGCAGAUAUCUUCCUCUCCUCCACCAGCAGUUGAAAGCAACAGAAGUAAAUGGCCGAUCUUCUCUACAUCAGUCAAACUGAAUGCUGUCAAAAUUAUUCUUUGGUACAUUGUUUCUCCCUCGAUUGUUAAAUCAUUUCAAGUUUGUUAACACAGACAUGGCUUAACUUUGUUCGGUGCUUGUUGCAAAUAAAGAAAACCUGAAAAGGCA